GAAAGCAGAAAGAUGGGGAGGAGUAGAAAGAGUGUGAUUGGGAGGGAGAAAGAAGAGACAAAGGUUUGAAAGGGCCUGAAGGGAAGAAUGAAAGAUAAGCUGAGGAUGGAGAGGAGAAAUGAGAUUCCAUAAGUAAAUAACAGGAAAGAAAACACUCGCAUCUAACGUUCACAUAUAGUGCAGUGGGGUGAUGGCACUUUCGAGGUUAUCAGAGCAUUUCAAAUAUACAGUGAAUUUUUCAUAAAGGCUUGUUUUAAGAGAUUAUGGUCAGCGCAUGAUACUGUGGGAGGAGGUUACAGAAAAUCUUUUCCCCCCAGAAAAAAAUAUUUGGAGGGAGGGAUCAGGGAGAGAGAGAGAGAAUCAUUGCACCAUGAUCAUAAUUUGCUCACAGUUACUUACCUACAUUAAAUUAUUGGGGCAUUAUGUUCUCUUUUAAAUAGCACAAGACAAAAAUUAUUUCACUAAAGUAGGUGAUCUUUAUUUAACAAAGUCAAGGAGGCCCAUGUUUAUAUCUCGGCACAGCCUUUUGACUUUAGGUGACUGAGAAAUUCCAGAGGGAUCUAACAAAGCAGUCAGAACAUAAGUGGGUCUUGAGGAGGAAUGUGAAUAUGAACAAAUCUGCAGAAGCUGGUGGAGAAGGACCCGGGAAGAGCUGCUCAUAGGGAUGGACAGGAGGAACCAGAAGCAAUUUGAGUUCCUCAAGGCACAGAAGGAGCUGGCUCUUCAGCAGGAAGAGAAACUGAUGAAUUAGUUCAUGGAGCUGGAAGUACACCUCAGGGUACAGGAGCAUGCCUUAAUGGAGAGGUACACAGAUCUGGUGGCAGGACAAGUUCAGGGUCCACCUGCUGCUGUGGCUACUGCAUAUCUAUGAAUGGCUACCAUCUCCUCUUCCAGGGUGCUGCAGAGGGGGACGACCCAAUACUCCAAGUGACCAUGAGGAGCCUGCAGGAUUCCUGGGACCACAUCCUCCACUGGCAUCCAAAACCCCUCACAGGGGAACAUCCAUGAACAGCCAGGAGGGGAAUGAUGAUCCUGGGGGAAUCACUGAAGCCCACCAAGUGUCUGCCUCCCAAACCCCACACAGGAAACAUCCCUGUUUGUCCCCAAGAACAAUUUCACCCCAUCAUUCCCCCCCUUGUUGGGAGGAAGGGGAGGGCAAGGGGAUGGGUUCAGAGACAUUAACAUUUGGCCAUUAUUCAUAGAUUCAGUCCCAUUAUGUUCUGUUGGUUUACGUUUCCUUUUUAAAAUAUUUCAGUUAUUUG